UACAGAGGGGGCAAGCGUUGUUCGGAAUUACUGGGCGUAAAGGGCGCGUAGGCGGCCUGCUAAGUCGAACGUGAAAUCCCUGGGCUCAACCCAGGAACUGCGUCCGAUACUGGUUGGCUUGAAUUCGGGAGAGGGAUGCGGAAUUCCAGGUGUAGCGGUGAAAUGCGUAGAUAUCUGGAGGAAUACCGGUGGCGAAGGCGGCAUCCUGGACCGGCAUUGACGCUGAGGAGCGAAAGCCAGGGGAGCAAACGGG
rnacentral:rRNA from 1 species